AGAAUUUGAUCUUGGUCAGGAUUAACGCUGGCGGCGUGCCUAAUACAUGCAAGUCGAAUGGUAGUAGCAAUACAAACCAUGGCGAACGGGUGAGUAACACGUAGGCAACCUGACUUUAAGACGAGGAUAACCGUUGGAAACGACGGAUAAUACUGGAUAGGACAUCAGAAAGGGCAUCCUUAGAUGUUUAAAGGUUAUUAUGCCACUUAGAGAGGGGCCUGCGGCGCAUUAGCUAGUUGGUGAGAUAACAGCCCACCAAGGCGAUGAUGCGUAGCCGGACUGAGAGGUUGAACGGCCACAAUGGAACUGAGAACGGUCCAUACUCCUACGGGAGGCAGCAGUAGGGAAUUUUCGGCAAUGGGCGCAAGCCUGAACCCGAGCAACGCCGCGUGAACGAAGAAGUUAUUCGUAAUGUAAAGUUCUUUUAUCUGGGAAGAAAAACAAAUUGACGGUACCAGAUGAAUAAGCUCCGGCUAACUACGUGCCAGCCGCAGC
rnacentral:rRNA from 1 species